CGGCAAUGGCAGAUUGGGACCUACCACUGGAGGUAUGGGUAGCCCUGAAAUCGGAGGAAGGGGUAGCUUAGGGACGGUCACUGGAGGAACGGGUAGCUUAGGUACAGUUACCGGGGGAACGGGUAGCUUAGGGACUGUCACUGGAGGAACGGGUAGCUUGGGGACGGUCACUGGAGGAACGGGUAGCUUGGGGACGGUCACAGGAGGAACGGGUAGCUUAGGUACAGUCACUGGUGGAACGGGUAGCUUAGGGAUGGUCACAGGAGGAACGGGUAGCUUAGGGACGGUCACCGGAGGGACUGGUAGCUUAGGGACGGUCACCGGAGGAACUGGUAGCUUAGGGACGGUCACCGGAGGAACUGGUAGCUUAGGGGCUUUAGGGGAGUGCUUUCCGCCCUUCCGUGGGUUGCAAGAGCCGCAUGCGAGAGAAUGUUGGGGGAGAUAGAUAAUGCAAAU
rnacentral:lncRNA from 1 species